GUGGUCUUUGAAGCAGCCGCCCUAUAAAGGGGAGGAAAGUCCGGACUCCACAGGGCAGGAAGCUGCCGAAAGGCAGGCAGGGGUAACCCUGCGGAAAGGGCCACAGAAAGCAGACUGCCUGUCCCGAUAAGCUGUAAGUAGGUGGAAACACCGAAGGGCUUAUCCGGGCAGGUAAAGGUGAAAGGGUGGGGUAAGAGCCCACCAGUACCGUCGGUGACGGCGGUAGCUGGCAACCCCCUUCCGGAGCAAUCCCAAAUAGGUGGAGGUUAGAGGGUUGCCCGCCCGAAAGCCUGAAAAGGCUUACCUCCACGGGUAGGGAGCUGAGAUAAAUGGCUGCACAAACAGAAUCCGGCUUAUCAGAGACCACUGGC
rnacentral:RNase_P_RNA from 1 species